rnacentral:lncRNA from 1 species
GGCUGGAGUGGCUGGGAAUGGAGAAACACCCAGCCUUCCCAGCAUUGCCAUGUUCUCAGCAAUGUCCUUUGCCAACUGCACUGAGAAAGUGAGAUGACUGGAAGACAUCUCCUGGAUCACUGCAGUAUCUUGUCUGCCUCCAGGCUCCAGCGUCAAGUAGUGAUCAGUCUCCUUCUCGCAGUGCCAUGCCCUGCAGAAGCAGCUUCCAGAUGUGACCUUGCACCUCUUCACAGCUACCUGUGUCUAUGAAAUGUCCAGAGUUUGGCUGCUCACCACCUCUGCAAGGAGCCCUGUGAUGGAGAUUCCUGGCUUGCAUCACCUCAUCUGAUGUCCCUGUCAUCUCCCAUCAUGUUCCCAGAGUGAUGGAGACACCAGGAGUUUAGACGGUGUCGUCCACUGUGACAUGGAUUCAUCAUUUCCCUAUUUGUUGGGAAAGGCAGCUGUGUGCUGCUCGUGGAAAUGUAGCCUUGACUGACUAGCUAAAAAUCGGAGGUGACCUAGCUGUACAACUUACUGCUUGGGAACAAUGUGACAAACUUCAUCUUUCUUCACUGCCAACCUCUAAGCAUUUCCCCAGCCCUCCGGCACCAUCCUGCUGCGGAAUGUCCCUGGAGCUGAA